UUGGCCUACGGGGGGCAGCAGUGGGGAAUAUUGCACAAUGGGGGAAACCCUGAUGCAGCGACGCCGCGUGGAGGAAGAAGGUCUUCGGAUUGUAAACUCCGGUCCUUGGGGACGAUAAUGACGGUACCCAAGGAGGAAGCACCGGCUAACUACGUGCCAGCAGCCGCGGUAAAACGUAGGGGGCAAGCGUUAUCCGGAUUUACUGGGUGUAAAGGGAGCGUAGACGGCCAGACAAGUCUGAAGUGAAAAUCCAGCGCUUAACGUUGGAAGUGCUUUGGAAACUGCCGGGCUGGAGUG
rnacentral:rRNA from 1 species